AGUGAACGCUGGCGGUAGGCCUAACACAUGCAAGUCGAACGACAGCACAGUAAGUGGUUGCUCUUACGGGUGGCGCGUGGGGGACGGUUGCGGAAGGCUUCGGAAUCUACUUUUUCGGGGGGGCUAACGUAGGGAAACUUACGCUAAUACCACAUACGUCGUCCGGGUGAAGGCAGGGGAUCUUCGGGCCUUGCGGUAUUGUAUGAGCCGAUGUCGGCUUAGCUAGUUAGCUGGGUAAAGGCCCACCAAGGCGACGAUCGGUAGCGGGUCUGAGAGGAUGAUUGGCCACACUGGAAGUGAGACACGGUCCAGACUCCUACGGGAGGCAGCAGUGGGGAAUCUUGGGCAAGGGGCGAAAGCCUGAUCCAGCCAUACCGCGUGAGUGAAGAAGGCCUUCGGGUUGUAAAGCCCUGUUGUUGGGAAAGAAAAAAAGCAGGUUUAUACCCGGCGGUUCUGACGGUACCGAAAGAAUAAGCACCGGCUAACUUCGUG
rnacentral:rRNA from 1 species